rnacentral:rRNA from 1 species
AACGAACGCUGGCGGCAUGCCUAACACAUGCAAGUCGAACGAGACCUUCGGGUCUAUUCGCCCACGGGUUCGUAACGCGUGGGAACCUUCCCUUAUGUUCGGCCUAACUCCCCGAAAGGGGUGCUAAUACCGGACCAUGGCUUCUGACCAAGGAUUUAUCGCCCUUGGUUGUGCCCGCGUUGGAUUCGCUAGUUGGUAGGGUAAAAGCAUACCACGGCGAGGAUCCAUAGCUGGUUUGAGAGGAUGAUCACCCACACUGGGACUGAGACACGGCCCAGACUCUUACGGGAGGCAGGAGUGGGGAAUAGUGGAAAAUGGGCGAAAGCAUGAUGGAGCAAUGACGGGAGAGCGAUGAAGGCAUUGGGGUUGUAAAGCUCUUUCAACCGGGAUGAUAAUGACAGUACCGGGAGAAUAAGCUCCGGCUAACUCCGUG